UACAGAGCCUCAGUAAGGUUAUUUAUUUAGAUUAUUUUUCCUCUAAUCACAGAGAAAGCAGUCUGGAAGAGAUCAACUGAAGAAAGAAGAGAAUGGAUCCCGAGCAGACAAAGAAAACGUGAGCCUGCUACAUUGAUGGGGGAGAGGGUGUAUGGAGAAAGAAUGUAAGAAUUGUAUAGUAAAGUGGUUGAGUGUGUAGUUUGGCGUUACAGAGACAAUGUCGAGUUAAACUGUCCAGCAUGUUUACCAGCCCGACUGCACCCAAAAACAAAUGGGAAUCUGGAGGUAGAAAGAGCAAGAGCCCAGAGAGUGAGGAGUGCUGUAAUCAGAGCUGGAAAGCGUCAUCGCAGGAGAGCGAUCCAGAGAUACACAGAGUGAGUUUGCAGAGCUGACAGUGAGGAGUGCUGUAAUCAGAGCUGGAAAGCAGCAUCGCAGGAGAGCGAUCCAGAGAUACACAGAGUGAGUUUGCAGAGCUGACAGUGAGGAGUGCUGUAAUCAGAGCUGGAAAGCAGCAUCGCAGGAGAGCGAUCCAGAGAUACACAGAGGUGCAACACUUCUUUCUGCUCCCGAUGGUUGACUGAAACAGCUCCUUAUGGUUCCUGCCUGAGUCUGAUGUUUCCACUUCAUUCACCCAGGUGCCCCUUUUCCGAAUGGUACAGUCCAGACAUCAGGCUUCCCCAGUGGAUAUGCCAGACCUGGUGGCCGAAGACAGAAACCUGAUUGGAGAUUUCAGCAGGGUGAGAACUAGGACCUUGACUUUUUGGCAGUACCUCCAGAUCUGCAGACACAGGGAUCCUUGAAUCUACAUAGUGAGUCUCAGCUCCUUGCUGCCUUGCUUCAGGAGCCAGCUUUGUCUAGGUCCUCCCCACAAGCCAAGCUGCUGGAGAGUCCAUCUACACAAGUCAUGCUACAGGACAGCCCCCCUAUGAAACCCAUUCUGUCAGACAGCCCCUCCGCAACUGCACCUGAGCAGGAGAGUCCUUCCACGAGAACUGCAUUACAGGAGAGUCCCUCGACCCCAGCCACACCGAAGGAAAGUGCUCUUGGGAGAAUCACUGUACAAGAUAGCUCCAGUCCAAGAACCCUGCUCAUCUUCCACUGCGAGUUCUCUUCAGAAAGGGGAACUCGGCUAUGUCGGUUUCUAUGGAAGAUCGACCGAAACCUGAAUGUUUAUCCUCAACUUUUUUACCCGUAGGUAUAUAUACUGAAGGGAGGUUACAAGGAAUUAUACUCCCAGUUUCAGGUAAAAAAAACAAAAAAAACAAAAACAUUGGGUAUAUUCCCUGUUCAAUGAACUGUCCGACUCUAGCUCUAUCCAGGUUGAUGUGACAUUGGAUGUAACCAGUGGCUGAUGGUUCAGACUGUCCCAGUGACACACUCUCUGUUUGUGGUCCAUAUUUGACAUAGCUCUCAAUGCAGGUUUCCUCCUCAGAGCCUCUGUAAGCCCUGUGGCUAUGUGCUGAUGGUUCACCAGGACUUCACUGAUCAGUUGCGAAGAUAUCGGAGGAAGAAGCAUUUUCGGCCAUCUCUGUUUGGGAGGAGGAAGCAGCUGGUUGAACCGGGAAUGGAGGCGUGAAUUGGGAAUGGGAAAAUUAAGAUAAUCUGCAUUGGGCGGAAUGGAGUGAACUUGUAUAAGCUGGAAACUGGAGUGAAUUUGAAUUUAGAGGGUUGAACUGGAAUGGGGAAUCAGUAAAUGAGGACAGUGCAACUGGGAUGAUGCCAAUGUGUAAUAAGAUUUUUAAAAGAAAAUAUUUUACUUGAAUAUUAUAAAAGGAAUAUUUAAAGUAUUAUUAAAUUAUCUGUAUGUAUUAUGUUAUUUAUUUGUAUUUAUAAAAGAUUAAGAACAGAGUUAGAGAUGCCUAGAAUACAGCUCAUGAGGAAAAAUAAAAUAAUGAUGUCAUUUUAAAUGUUGCCUGUUAUUUGUGGCCUAUUGUUUUCUGUUUAUUGUACUUAUUUAUACACACCUUGGUCAUCACUCGAAUAGGAAUGGGCAGACACAGAUGUACUGCUCCUGUGCAAUAACAUUUUCCAAAAUUAGUAAGAAACAUCUUCGUUAUUCCACUUACAAAAAGGUGGAGGGAACUUUGCACUUCAGUCACAGCUUAUCAAAUCUAUUUGCUUUGGAGCUAAUCUGAUAUCAAGGUGGUUAAAAUGUGAUCUUAAUUUCUCUGUAAGGAUGAGCUCACUGGGAACCAAUGAGUUAAAACAUGUUGAGUACACACUGCCAC